UUACAGCCAUAUCAGGCUGAAACACCGGUUCUUGUACGAUAACCGAAGUUAAGCAACGUCAAGCCUGUUCAGUGGCUAGGUGGGUGACCGCUUCGGGAUACCAGGUACUGUAAG